GACAGAGGGUGCGAACGUUGUUCGGAAUUACUGGGCGUAAAGCGCAUGUAGGCGGCAGCGCAAGUCGGGCGUGAAAUCUCACGGCUCAACCGUGGAAGUGCACUCGAAACUGCGCAGCUAGAGUCCUGGAGAGGAAGGUGGAAUGCUUGGUGUAGAGGUGAAAUUCGUAGAUAUCAAGCGGAACACCGGUGGCGAAGGCGGCCUUCUGGGACAGCGACUGACGGCUGAGAUGCGAAAGCGUGGGGAGCAAACAGGGAUUAAGAAACCCGG
rnacentral:rRNA from 1 species